GCGGGUGUGGCGUAGUGGUUUUGCGUGCAACCCUUCCAAGGUUGAGGCACGGGUUCGAUUCCCGUCACCCGCU
rnacentral:tRNA from 1 species